GAUGAACGCUGGCGGCGUGCUUAACACAUGCAAGUCGAACGGAAAGGCUCCUGCUUGCAGGGGUACUCGAGUGGCGAACGGGUGAGUAACACGUGGGUGAUCUGCCCUGCACUUCGGGAUAAGCCUGGGAAACUGGGUCUAAUACCGGAUAGGACGAUGGUUUGGAUGCCAUUGUGGAAAGUUUUUCGGUGUGGGAUGAGCUCGCGGCCUAUCAGCUUGUUGGUGGGGUAAUGGCCUACCAAGGCGUCGACGGGUAGCCGGCCUGAGAGGGUGUACGGCCACUUGGGGUGUGAGAUAGGGCCCAGACCCAUCGGGGGGGCAGGAGGGGGAAAUAUGGCAAAAGGGGGGCAGGCUUGAGGCACGGACCCCGGGGGGGGGAGGCCGGCUUGGGGUUUGAAAACUCCUUUCGCAAGGGACGAAGCGCAAGGGACGGUCCCUGGAGAAAAAGCCCCGGCUAACUACGUG
rnacentral:rRNA from 1 species